ACGAGUAUAGUUAAAUUGGUAUAACUUCUACCUUCCAAGUAGAUAUUAUCAGUUCAAUUCUGAUUACUCGUA
rnacentral:tRNA from 1 species